rnacentral:snRNA from 1 species
AUAAUUACCUGGCAGGGGAUACCAUGAUCAUGAAGGUGGUCUUUCCAGAACAAGGCUUAUCCCUUGCACUCCGGAUGGGCUGACCCCUGCAAUUGCCCCAAAUGUGGAAAAACCGAGUGCAUAAAUUUGUGGUCCUGGGGAACUGGGUUCGUG